ACGUAGGGACCAAGCGUUGUUCGGAUUUACUGGGCGUAAAGGGCGCGUAGGCGGCGCGGUAAGUCACUUGUGAAAUCUCUGAGCUUAACUCAGAACGGCCAAGUGAUACUGCAGUGCUAGAGUGUGGAAGGGGCAAUCGGAAUUCUUGGUGUAGCGGUGAAAUGCGUAGAUAUCGGGAGGAACACCUGUGGCGAAGGCGGCCCCCUGGUUGGAUACUGACGCUGAGACGCGAAAGCGUGGGGAGCAAACAGGA
rnacentral:rRNA from 1 species